UAGUGGGGCACCUCGUCCCAUCAUUUCUGACCAUUGGCUAUGCUGGCUACAGAUGAUGGGAGUCCGGCAAAAUCGGGGUGGCCCCCACAGAUUUCCUCAACCCCUUGCCCACACAGACCAGCAGUGGUUCUCCAGAAUUUCAGACCGGACUUUCCCCUAGCUCUGCCUGGAGAUGAUGAAGGUUCAACAAGCGACCUCCUGCAUCACUUAGGAGCUUUGACCCUAAGCUGUGGCUCCAUAGGCAGUAGAGGGAAGGCUCACCCUGUCUCAUGGACUCAAGGCAGACAACUGCGAUUUCACCUGACGCCCACCUGAUGAAUAUGAACAUGCAGGUUUUCAGAAAGCAAGGUGCAGGGUGCACAUGGACCCUCAGGCCUAUGUCCCUGGGAGGGACUAUCAGACGGUCUCUCUCUCUUUCCAAAAGCACCAGCAUGAUCAGUAAGUAUGGACAGACAUAGAAUCCUAGAACUGCAUACUGUGGAGGGACCACGCCGGUCAUC